GUGUCAGCCGCCGCGGUAAUACGUAGGGGGCGAGCGUUGUCCGAAGUUACUGGGCGUAAAGCGCGCGUAGGCGGGCUAUUAAGUUGGAUGUAAAAUCUCCGGGCUCAACUCGGAAACCGCAUCCAAAACUGGUGGCCUUGAGGUAUGGAGAGGGAAGUGGAAUUCCUGGUGUAGCGGUGAAAUGCGUAGAUAUCAGGAGGAACACCCGUGGCGAAGGCGGCUUCCUGGUCAUAUCCUGACGCUGAGGCGCGAAAGCUAGGGGAGCGAACGGGAUUAGAAACCCCUGUAGUCC
rnacentral:rRNA from 1 species